rnacentral:rRNA from 1 species
UACAGAGGGUGCAAGCGUUGUUCGGAAUUAUUGGGCGUAAGCGCGUGUAGGCGGCUUUGCAAGUCGGGUGUGAAAGCCCUCAGCUCAACUGAGGAAGUGCGCCCGAAACUGCAGAGCUUGAGUGCCGGAGAGGGUGGCGGAAUUCCCCAAGUAGAGGUGAAAUUCGUAGAUAUGGGGAGGAACACCGGUGGCGAAGGCGGCCACCUGGACGGUAACUGACGCUGAGACGCGAAAGCGUGGGGAGCAAACAGG